rnacentral:misc_RNA from 1 species
AAAAAAAAAAUUAAAAAAUUCCCCAAAAAAAACCCUUUAGAGGGUGUCAUGCUAGUAGAGGAAGGUCUAAAUUUAUGUUUACAUUUAAAUCUUCAUAAAUGCUUAGCCAUAUUAUUAAGUUUAAAAUCAUCCGUGACCAUUAAAUGAAGUAGUUUCAUAUAUUACUAUUAUUGGGUCUUUUCCCAACCGCAAAUAAGCUUUGCUUGGUCUCUGGGCAAUCUCUUUUCUAAAGAUUGUUGAGCAGUUAUUAUGUGUGCCUUUUUUAAAAAAAGAAAAAUUGAAAUAAAUUUCUUUGCUUAAAAGCCUUAUAACUAAGUAAAUAUAAGACGAAAGAAAAAAUAAAGUUCAAAUAAAAUUUAAUCUGAACUAAGAAACACAAUAAUAAAUUCAAAAUAAACACGAGAAAAAAUCCUGAAAAACACAAUAAAAAAUUGUGAGUUUCUCUAAUCCAAACUCCUAGAACAGUUACUAUGUUAGAGUCUUUGGUUGAAAGAUAACUUUUGACUCUUAUUGUAGGGCAUUACGUAUGCUCUUUCCAGCUAAGGAUUGAAUGUGAAAAAUGAUUCACUGACUUCAUUAUGUGUCUUGUUUCAUUUAUAAAUGCAAACUUCACAACCAACAUUGGUUACUUGUCAACUACUUGACUGAAUCUUUUACAACUAGACUAGCUAACUUGCUAACUAAUUUAUUAUAAUUAACAUGCUUCUUGUUAAUUGUCAUGGUUGGACUAGAGAACCGAGGGACUUUAGUCUUUUAUCUUCUCAUAAAUGAAAUUCGGUGGCACCUUUAAACAUUAUUAUAAAAUUGCCAAAAUUGUUUGAAGAUGAUGAAUAUUCAUUUUGGUUUGAUAGUGAUUUGGUACUAUUUAUAGCCAUCAUGACUUGGAACUUGGAGUGAUUAAUUUAAGAAUAAAUUGUGUGGACUCUGGUUUUCUUUGGUUGGUUAAGGGAUGCGAGAACAGUAGCACAGAUAUAAUGACAUUGAAAAUAAAAUAUGCGUCAGUAUCUAUUAAUUAAGCAUAAUA